CCACCCCACCCCACCCCCGCCCCCCAGCUCGGUUCCGAGAGUCCAGGUCCGAAGUCCUCCAGCCCCGUGCAGGCACCACCUCCCCUCAGGCCGCCUCCCAUGGGGGUGGCAGCCACAGCUGAGAUGGUAGCUCUUGAGGCAAAAAUAGCGCCCACAGCUGCCUGAGGCUUUGUGCCAGGGAUGUGGACGCCAGCGUCCAGGCGGGGAGUAGCGUGCCCUCUAAGCACCAGGAGUGGGGGCCGAGGGGUCAAGGGCCUCUUUUUUCCCCUCUUAGCUCUGUCACGUGAGGUGGGGCUCGUGGGGCGACUCAGAAGGCGACCUCUAGAAAUGGGGUUUCACAGCGGGUGUGUGCUGAGCAGAAAGGUGGUGCUGGGCCCGGAGCUGCACCACGAAAAGGCAGAGGCUGGACUGUCCGGCAGGUGUGUGGGACAGACACACCAGGGAGUGGCUAGGUGCUGCUGCCCAAUUGGACUCGAGUGUGGCAUUGACCACAGGGCCGGGAAGCCCAGGAGUCCCUCCUGUGGAGGGCUUGGGGCCUCGUGGAGAGAAGGCCCUGGGUGCCUUGGGGCAGCUCCACCCCCCACCCACACCUUAGAGGGCUCCUCAGGAUGUUUUCUGGUAAAGGACUUCGGAAGGGCCCCUGUGGCUGGGGAGCGACCUGCCAUGGGUUCUUUUGGGCCAGAGAUCUCGGGGUGUCCCUCCUUUCCAUCCUAAAUGGGGACAGGAGGGUUCCCCUGAGGCAGAGGUGGAGCAGGGCCUGUCUGCAGGUGUGGGAGUAGGUCGCAGACCGGGAGGUCAGGGUGGGCAGAAGGGCUUGUUCCAGGCCGGGGAAGGCCGAGGUUUCCCGGGCCCUCCAUGCCCUCCCCUGCUGAGCUGCAAUGACCCCAGUGGGGGGAGACACUCAGGUGUCCUUGGAGACACGUUCCCAUCCCCUUUUAAUUAGCUUAGCAAGCUGCAGGCUCAGAGGCUCGCUCUCUCGCUCCCUGGGAGUUUGCUUCAGAGACUGGGCUGACCAGGGCCCUUCUGCGGCUGUUACAGCAAUCACGAUCAGGUUCCUGUCCCCUCCCCAGGCCUAGAGGGAGGGGCCUGCCUCCUGGGGGAGGGGGAGAGCAGGGCUUCUGCUCCUCUGCUUGUGCGUAUCCAGUAAGUCUUAAUGUCCCAUUCAUGCCAGGGACACUGCUUGGGUGUGUGUUCGUGCCCCCUUCUCGUGCAUAGUGUUAGCGCUCGCCCAAGAGUCUGGUUCUGUAGGUCUGGUGGGACUUGAACCCUGGACAGUUAGGGUGCAGGUGGUCGGGAGGUGGGUGCUGGCACUGUCCCGGCAGGGGCUGCUGACCCUGAGCUCCAGGACCUGGGGACGGACAGGUCUGCUGGGAAAGGAAGGGACAGGAACCAGGCAAGAGGCCACUCCGUUGCCACAUUGAGGCCAGGACUAAAAGAGCCUGCUGGGCUACACCCCACAGGCCUGCAAGCCCUGUAGCUGCCCAGCCUCAAAACCCAAGACAGAGCCAGAGGCAGUGACAGAGACACAAAGGGUCCUGGGGUGACAGCCCACCAUGUGUGGCAACCAGUAAGCCGGGGCGGGGCAGCACUCCUCACCACUGUUUACAAGAGUGGUUGCAUCAGGGGGGCUCCACAGUUACCAGGGGCUAGUUAAGCCUUGUAAUUAAGAGGACUGGAUGGUCUCGUGAGUGGAGCAGGAGGUGUACACAGAGCAGGAAAACAGCGGUCUUUCACCCCCGCCCCCGCAGCAUAUGGAGGUUCCCAGGCUGGGGGGUGAAUUGGAGCUACGGCUGCUGCCUACACCACAGCCACAGGUCCUUAACCCACUGAGCAGGGCCAGGUAUUGAACUCGCAUUCUAAUGGAUACUAAUUGGGCUCUUAACCCACUGAGCCACAACGGGAACUCUGAAAACAGCUGUCUCGAGUGCCCUAACUGUUCAGACCUGGAGUGAGAGGCCUUUCCACCUGCGUCAAUGGAGGGCACCUGGAGGCACCGGUGUCUCGGGGGGUUUGGGGCAGCUGACAUGUGCACCAGGCUGAGCAAAGCUGGCCGAGCUGAUAGAACCCCAACCAAGGCUUCCUGUGUCUUCCACGGGGAUGGAGGGGCUGCUUGAGUCAUCCACACUCAACUGGGCCUCUGUGAGUGGGCGGGCUGGCUGAGACCCCGAGCGGGAGUGGGGCAGGACUGCCACUUGCCUGCAGUGGGACUUGACGGACGCCCAGUGACAGGCCUGCUCUGCAGGCCUGAGGGGAGGCAGUGUGGACAAAAGGCUAAACUCAGGCUGAAGUGGGAGCUGGGUGGGUCCUCAUCAGGCGUCCUCCUCUAGCAGGGCUGGGGCCCGGAGCCCUCGUGGCGGGAUGGGCAGGACUGUGUCCACUCGUUCCCACUUCUGAGCCGGUCCGGCUGGCUUUCUCGGGGCGCUCUCCCCAUGCUCUACAUCCAUAACUCUCCCCAGCCUUCAAAGCCCAGCUCAGGGAGUCUCUGGUGGCAGUGGCUGUUUACAGCGGUUGCACCCGUUCGAUCCCUGGCCCAGGAAUUUCUGUGUGCCUUGGGCGCAGCCAAAGGAGGGAAAAAACCCCAGCACAGGCACCCUUUGCUCCAGGCAGCCUGUCAUAACCUCCCAGCCAGGAGGUUCCCUCCGCUGAGGUCGCCCAGCCUUGGACGGACAGCCCUGACUCUGGAGCUGACGCUCCACCUGCCUCCCCCACCCUGGGCUCCUUGCCAUCCCCACCUGUACGGCUAAGAGGAUCUCAAACUACCUGGCCAGGACUGGUGCACCUUCUGCCAGCACCGGAAUUGACAUGAAAACCCUGAUCCUGCCCUGGGAAACACCCCCCCGUCUCAGGAAACGGAAGCUCCAGCCUUCUGCUUUUUCUGGCAUCUGUCUCCUUUCUCACACCCCGAUUCUGAGCCCGCUGACUGACCGGCUCAGCUGGCCUCUGCUGCCCACGCUGAGCCCCCCCAGAGGGACGCUUCUGGAGCAGAAGCCAGCUCGUCCCUCCCGCCCCCGAGGCUCCCCAAGUCACUCAGCCGACGCUCAGUUCACACGCUCCACCCCAGGCCUCUCCUCCCGGCCCGAAAGUGCGUCCUGAGUGGGUCCUCCCUCCCGCUGUCCCGUCAGGUCUGUUCAUUGGCCGUCUCCCUCGCAGAAAGGACAGCAGAGAUGUGUGUUCCCACCACUGAAUCCCCAGCCCUCAAAAGGGUCUAGCACACAGUGGAUGCGCAUGAAUCCUUGCAGAGACAUGAAGGCUAUUUCCCGACCUCCAAGACCCGCGUCCUCAGAAAGGCAGCAGGGGCCUGGCAAUGGACCAGGAGCACCCCCGCCUCCACCCCCGCCACCAGCGGCACUGCUGCAGGUCUUGGAGAUCAGGGCAUGAAGUGACUGCAAAACUGGGUGUCAGAGCUACUGCUUAUCAGUUACAAGCCCAGGAAAUAAACAUGUAUACACCUCAACUGGAGAAAGGACCACGGAGGGCAAGUGAGAGGGAAAGGUGAGGGGCGAACACCAGCAGUCACUUUGGAUGGCCUUGGGAGUGACAAGGGAACCUUGCAACAGUUGAGGGAGGAACCAACGGGAAACCCUUACAAAAGAACAGCAAGUGCUGAAGCUGAGGCCAGGUGAGCUCACUGGGGCACAGGGAGGUGAUUGCGCCUGGAGCACAGUAAGUGGAGGGCAGAGGCCCCUGCCUCCCCCAUCUUUUGGGUCUGGGGAGGCCUUGGCUGCAGGGGCCUGUGGAGAGGCGGGCACACACUCUCUGGCUUCAGACACCCUCACCUGCACUGCUCCUCACAGCAACCCAAGAGGGCUUCCUUCUAAGCCAGAGUGGGUCACCCAGAUUGGCAAUGGAUGACUGGCAUGAGCCUCAUCAAGGAGGGCAGGUCACUUCCAGGGCUGCUCUCAACUCACCACACCCCCUCCUCCUGCCCCCCCCCACCCCAUUGUCUGCAGAGUUGAGGCAGAGGGAAUUAAGGAGCGUUUGCACUUCACUUCUGAACCUGGAGAAAAAAGUGAGAAAAGUGGCUCCAGGGGGGAUUGACUGAAUAUUUAUCUAAAGAAAUCAGUCAUCAGCAGUACGUUCACUACAAAAUAAUUUAUUGCAACACACAGCUAAAGCCCUAGCCUAUGUACAAGCACAUGCACACCCCUGCCCGGCAGCUAGGGGGCGCGUUUCUUCCCCCGUGCCUUGCGGACCUCUUCUAUCAGAUCUUUGAGAUACUGAAUCUCCUUGGCCAAGGAAUCCGCCUUCUCUUUCAGAGCUUCGUUCUUCUUUUCUAGCUCUUUACAUUCGCCAGUGAGGGCCUCCUGCUCUGCCCUCUUCUUCUGGCGGUACCUAGUGGCUGCUGUCUUGUUCUGCUCCAUCUUCUUCAGCUUCUUAUCUAGUUUCUCACCCUUUACUUUUGCUGCUAC